GACGAACGCUGGCGGCGUGCUUAACACAUGCAAGUCGAACGGAAAGGCCCUGCUUUUGUGGGGUGCUCGAGUGGCGAACGGGUGAGUAACACGUGAGUAACCUGCCCUUGACUUUGGGAUAACUUCAGGAAACUGGGGCUAAUACCGGAUAGGAGCUCCUGCUGCAUGGUGGGGGUUGGAAAGUUUCGGCGGUUGGGGAUGGACUCGCGGCUUAUCAGCUUGUUGGUGGGGUAGUGGCUUACCAAGGCUUUGACGGGUAGCCGGCCCGAGAGGGUGACCGGGCACAUUGGGACUGAGGUACGGACCAGACUCCUACGGGAGGCAGCAGUGGGGAAUAUUGCCCAAUGGGCGGAAGCCUGAUGCAGCAACGCCGCGUGCGGGAUGACGGCCUUCGGGUUGUAAACCGCUUUCGCCUGUGACGAAGCGGGAGUGACGGUAAUGGGUAAAGAAGCACCGGCUAACUACGUG
rnacentral:rRNA from 1 species